rnacentral:tRNA from 1 species
GCCGAGGUGGUGAAAUUGGCAGACACGCUACCUUGAGGUGGUAGUGAGAUUAAUACUCUCGUGCAGGUUCAACUCCUGUCCUCGGCA